CGCUGGAAUCGAGAAAGUGAAGAAAACGUUACUUAACCCUUUACAAAGCUUAGGGGGGAUGUGAGGGCAGAGGAACACAAUAGUGUUAAGAAUACAUCUUUAUAUUCUCAACACUAAAGUGUUUCUUUAAGUUAUGGGGUCCUGUGGCCUGAAAUUAUGAGGAAGAUAUCCGUCUAUAUGUAUAAGGCUUUCUGGAAGUUGUAGUUUAACAGUCAGCUUUUUUACG